rnacentral:rRNA from 1 species
UACGUAGGGUGCGAGCGUUAAUCGGAAUUACUGGGCGUAAAGCGUGCGCAGGCGGUUUUGUAAGUCAGUUGUGAAAUCUCCGGGCUUAACUCGGAAAGGUCAACUGAUACUGUGCGACUAGAGUGCGGAAGGGGCAACUGGAAUUCUCGGUGUAGCGGUGAGAUGCGUAGAUAUCGAGAGGAACACCUGCGGCGAAGGCGGGUUGCUGGGCCGACACUGACGCUGAUGCGCGAAAGCCAGGGGAGCGAACGGG